GGUUUAAUAGCUCAGUUGGUUCAGAGCACCUGCCUUACAAGCAGGGGGUCCAAGGUUCGAAUCCUUGUUAGACCACCA
rnacentral:tRNA from 1 species